ACACUGUAAAAUUUUUCCAGGAUUUCACAAGAUAUAACUGUAAUAUUUCACAGUUAAUUACAUUAUUACCACUUCACAGGCUUUAACUGUGAUAAUUCACAAUAUAAUACCGUAUUUAGACUUUUACUGUGAAAAUAAUGCAGGCGCGGGGCUUUUACAAGAAACUACUGUGAAUGCCGUCUUUUUUGAGUGGCAACUGCGGCAGCGUCAUCAGAGCUCUCUGAUCUACGUGGUCUCAUUCGGUGGAUUCAGACAGCGCAUUUUCUACAUUGACCGACGAUAAAUAAAGUUAUAAGGUGCUUCUUGGGCAUCAACCCAGAGACGGGCACAAAAUCUAAGAGGCAGAGAGGUCACAUGAACCAGCAAGUCUGCACUCUUAUCAGGAAGCUCAUUGACUUCGAAUGGAUGUCAAUCUAAUUGGAUAGAACCCACACUAUGCAGGUGCCAGCUGCGAGGGAAGGAGCGAGACACCUGCGACCCUCUCUAUUCCCACCUUUUUGUAUUUUUUUACAUCUCUCUCCCUCACUCUCUCUUCUCUGUCUCCUUCUUUCUCUUUUGACACACAUUCCUGUUACCCAGUGUCAAUCCCUGUUGCCCAGUGUUUUAUUCAUGUAAUUAAAUUGUAUUUUACUUCUAAAAAAUAAAAGUUAUGUCACUGUUUUUAUCAGUUUUGUUUGGUCCAUCAUUUAUGCUAAAUCACAGUAAUAGACAUUCACAGUUAUGUACAGUAAUUCUACAGCUGCUUACUGCUAAAUUACAGUAAUAGAUAGACUAAUUUCACAGUUAAAUACAUUAAUUCUACAUCUGCUUGCUGCUAAAUUACAAUAAUAGACACUAAUUUCACAGUUAAAUACAUGAAUUCUACAGCUGCUUACUGUUAAAUUACAGUAAUACAUAGACACCAACUGUAAUUUCACAGUUAAAUACAUUAAUUCUACAGCAGCUUACCGCUAAAUCACAGUAAUGCAAUGUCAGAAUUACUGUGAAGUCACAGUAUACAGCUGUCAUUUCACAAUAAUUUACUGUAAAAAUGUUACAGUAACUUACUGUGAAAGUCAUGCAAUUAUUAACCUGCAAUUUAUUGUAAAUUUACAGUCAAAUAAUUAACAGUG